UACGGAGGGGACUAGCGUUGUUCGGAAUUACUGGGCGUAAAGCGCACGUAGGCGGAUUUGUAAGUCAGGGGUGAAAUCCCGGGGCUCAACCUCGGAACUGCCUUUGAUACUGCAAAUCUCGAGUCCGGAAGAGGUGAGUGGAAUUCCUAGUGUAGAGGUGAAAUUCGUAGAUAUUAGGAAGAACACCAGUGGCGAAGGCGGCUCACUGGUCCGGUACUGACGCUGAGGUGCGGAAGCGUGGGGAGCAAACAGG
rnacentral:rRNA from 1 species